AGAGCGAACGCUGGCGGCAGGCCUAACACAUGCAAGUCGAGCGCCCGUAGCAAUACGGGAGCGGCAGACGGGAUAGUAACACGUGGGAACGCGCCCUUCGGUUCGGAAUAACUCAGGGAAACUUGAGCUAAUACCGGAUACGCCCUUACGGGGAAAGUAUUUAUUGCCGAAGGAACGGCCCGCGUCCGAUUAGCGUAGUUGGUGAGGUAAUGGCUCACCAAGGCGACGAUCGGUAGCUGG
rnacentral:rRNA from 1 species